CUUCUCGCUGGGAGCUCAGUUCACCAUCUGGCGUUCUAUUCACUGUUCGUGAUAACCAUAAACAUCUAAUUUGUACCAAUUUUUUGUUAAAACGGAAAAAUUUUGGCAGGCACGGUGGGUGAAUGCCGUGGUGUAUCAACGCAAAAUAAUACUUUCAUACACAUAAAAUCUAUGUAUUGGUUAUAUAGAUCGCCGUGUAUUAUAUUGCGUAUUAUAGCGUGUUUCUUAGCGAGUUUUUCUUUUUUCAGUCGGUUGCGCGCACAUGUGCCUGUGUGUGUGUAUGUGAAAAGCGGUGUGCGGUGAUUUUAAAGUGUUUGUUUUUAUUCACAUUGCGAAGAUGGAGAAUACGGAAGAUGAAAGAAAUAUGUCAAAAAUGACAAAUGUGUCCAGCCUUUUGUUGUUACUUAGCACGCUGUUCAUGGGUGGUCUCGUCAUUGUCAUUCGUUAUUUCGCCAAUCGAUGGUCGAAAUCCAGCCAAAGUUCACCGAAAGAUUCAUUCGCGAUGCCGUCCUCGGAACCAUCAUCACAAUCGGAAAGUAUAUCGCAAUCUUCGCAAUCAUUGGAGAAACGCCCGAAAAACAAGAAACGUCGAGAGCAACAGCAAGAAUUCACGCAUCCUUGGUUAAUCGCCACGCUAAAAGGACAUACAGGACUCGUCACUGAUAUGGCUUUCUCUAAUAACGGCAAAUAUCUCGCGAGUUGUGCCGAAGUACACGUCAACUGUACAAAAAUGUCGGGCGGAGAUAAAGGUCCCGUUCCACCGCGUUGGCUUCACUGUCCGCGCAAAGCGAUGAGGAUGAUCCAGAACAAAUUUUUGGCCUUCAAGACACCUCUGUCUUCUGCCUAUGACAGUCAAGUGCCCGAGGCGUGCCGUUGGCGCGUGGAUAUGCUCUUUGCACAUCUGAAGAGUCAGAAAUUGACGAUGGGAUUGUGGAUAGACUUGACAAACACGACGAGAUUCUACGAUCGCAAGAGCAUCGAGGAUCACGGCUGUAAAUACUUGAAACUGCAAUGUAGAGGUCACGGUGAGACUCCGUCACUGGAGCAGACCCACAUCUUCGUGGAGGUUUGCAAGAAUUUUAUUGCGCAGAAUCCAUUGCAGAUCAUCGGUGUACAUUGUACACAUGGCUUUAAUAGAACUGGAUUUCUGAUAAUCAGCUAUUUGGUGGAAAAUGACAUCAGCAGCGUUGAUGCUGGGUUAGCGGAGUUUACUACUGCAAGACCACCUGGAAUUUACAAGGGCGAUUACAUACAAGAGUUAUAUAGACGAUACGAUGAUGAGGAGGAUGCUCCACCUCCACCUGCAAAGCCCUCAUGGUGUCUGGAAUGUGAUGAGUCCAACAUCGAGGACACAGAUCAAGAAUCAAGUACAGAAUAUGAAAACGGUCAUCAAGAGGGACAGGGCAAGAAGAAGAAAAGAGAGUACAACAAUAGAAAUCCAGUAUUCAUGGCUGGUGUGCCUGGUGUUACACCUAUUGUAGAGAAGAUGAGACUGUCAGGAAUCCAGAAACGAGUUCAAGAGAUUUGUGGGUGGACGUCUACAGGAUUCCCAGGUUCCCAGCCUGUGUCCAUGGAUGUCGAGAAUAUGAAUUUGUUGCAUACGAAACCAUACCGUGUCUCCUGGAAGGCAGAUGGCACAAGGUAUAUGAUGUUAGUGCAAGGAGAUGGAGAAGUAUACUUCAUAGAUAGAGAUAAUAGCAUCUUUGAAGUAAACGGGUUAACAUUCCCUCAUUUGCGAGACAUAAACAGAUGCUUGAGAGAUACUCUAAUGGAUGGUGAAAUGGUGAUCGACAAAGAUAAGGGCAAAGAUAUACCUAGAUAUUUAGUAUACGACGUUAUUAUGUAUGACGGGCAAGACGUUAGCAAGUUACCGUUUUAUCCUGACCGUUAUUCCAUUAUCGAGCAUAAAAUAAUUGCCGGUAGAUUAAGAGCUAUGAAGGAGGGACGAUUGAUAAAGGAACGAGAACCCUUCUCGGUGCGACUGAAGUAUUUCUGGGACGUAACAUUGAGCAAAAAUUUAUUAGGCGAGAAAUUUGCCAAGCAGCUUUCCCACGAACCAGAUGGCUUGAUAUUUCAACCCGCUAAGGAAAAAUAUUGCACGGGAACAUCCCCGGAGGUCUUAAAAUGGAAACCAUUGUCAUUGAACUCUGUGGACUUUCGAUUGAAAAUCGUCACGGAAUCGGGUGUGGGCAUUCUGCCGAAGAAGAUUGGCCAUCUGUACGUAGGCGGGUUGAAAACACCGUACAGCACGAUAAAGAUCACUAAACAGAUCAAAGAUUUGGACAACGAGAUUAUAGAGUGUAAAUUCGAAAAUCGACAAUGGAUCUUCAUGCGGCAGCGAAAUGACAAAUCGUUCCCUAAUUCCUUUAAUACAGCCGAGUCUGUGUGCAAGAGCAUCAACAAGCCGGUCACGAAGGAACGACUUUUGGAGUUCAUUGAUAGAUGCAGAUUUAUGCAGGAUGACUCGGACCUUAUGCCACCGCCAAGCAAGAAAUUAAGAUAAUCCUAGAUACACAUUAUUCGACUUAUGUACAUUUAUGUUAGUGAAUCAUACAUACGCAUAGAAGUAUCGCAAUUUUUACAUCUCAACAUGGGUACUGGACUCUUAAGUCUCGAUUUGAUUUUAUACUUCUCGCUGUGUUCUUAAUAUAAUUAAUUCGAUCCGAUUUUUAAUUGUAUGUUGAUUGUAUGUGAUGAACCAUAGAUAACAGUUUGAAUAUAUCUUUUUGCUUUUAACAAAUGAAGAAAAGAGAAGAAAAAGUAAUAUAGCACAAAAGUGAUGGAAAAGUAAAUAUUUACGACAUCGAGAUGUCCACUUUAUGUUUGUGAUAAAUGUGCCCUUUUAAUUUUGAUUUUGAUUAUCUCUUUAUCAGAAUAUUUCUAUUUACUCAACGUUAUACGAUGUAAUAUUCUGAUCAAUUAAAAUCGAUUGUUGAAUAAAGGAACUUUGUAAUAAUA
rnacentral:misc_RNA from 1 species